AAAAAGGCAAACCAUGGAUUUCCGUGUCCAACUUUGACUUUCUGUCUUAUAUGAAAUUUUUUUAUAAUUCGUAUUUUCAUUGUUGUUAGAUGAUAAAACAUGAUUAAUAUUUUAUGCGUGACUUGUCUUUUUAAUUUUUUUCAUAAUUUUUUCAAAUAAGACGGACGGUCAAAUGUUGGGCACGGAAACCAGGGUUUGUCUUUUU
rnacentral:pre_miRNA from 1 species